GGGAGCGGUUGGUAGUCUGGUGACGCCCUCGGUCUUCAAAACCGAUGAUCCCGGUGUCUCACCGGGAUGGUGGGUUCGAUCCCCACACGUUCCCGCCA
rnacentral:tRNA from 1 species